rnacentral:lncRNA from 1 species
CUGACUUUCUAUCCCAUUGUGUGUGAAUAAAAUUGCACCUCCUGUCUUCUUCUUGGGUACUGAGAAGAAUCUGCAGGAUUUAUAAUCCUGAAACUUCUGCCUUGUGUCCUAUACUCUCUAUGUAAGUAUCCACAGGGGUUGUGGAAGACGAUCCAUAUUUUGGGAUCUAGAGGAGAGUAUCUUUAAAAGCCUUAAUCUUUUUUAUGCCCAUUUUGUAGGCAGCCCAUGUAGUGUGAGAAUUAGUCUGGUGAGCCUUGUGGACACAUUUGACUCUUCAUGUGGCAGCUUGCUUUUCUCACAUAUGGAAGAGAUUAGAAGUCUGCAUAUUUGCUACAAGGCCUGCUCUCAAGUUCCCUAUACACCAGAUUGGACACUGCUUCUGAUCAGAGAGAAAGUCCCCGUACCUCCACUGGUUCUGAAGAUAAAAUUUUAAGGUGAACUCAAUUCCCCAAAUCAGGAAAACGACUAGAAAUCAGGGUCAACUGAAACUUAAACAUGGCCAUGAGAUAAAAAACAUGCAAGUUACUAUUCUAAAUAUAACUUCGAAAUUUGCUUUUAAAAGAAAACAUCAUCUAGUUUUAAAGUAACAUGACUAAAUACAAAAUGAAACAAUUGUCACAAAGUAGUAACAUGAAUUUCAAAUUUUC